UAUUACGGCCAUACCACCCUGUGCACGCCCGAUCUCGUCUGAUCUCGGAAGCUAAGCAGGGUCGGGCCUGGUUAGUUCUUGGAUGGGAGACCGCCUGGGAAUACCAGGUGCUGUAAGCU
ensembl:rRNA 5S_rRNA 5S ribosomal RNA